GAUGAACGCUAGCUACAGGCUUAACACAUGCAAGUCGAGGGGCAGCGCAGUGUAGCAAUACAUGGGCGGCGACCGGCGCACGGGUGCGUAACGCGUAUCCAACCUUCCCGUUACUCAGGGAUAGCCUUCCGAAAGGGAGAUUAAUACCUGAUGGUGUUCAAAUUCCGCAUGUUAUUUGAACUAAAGAUUUAUCGGUAACGGAUGGGGAUGCGUGACAUUAGAUAGUAGGCGGGGUAACGGCCCACCUAGUCUACGAUGUCUAGGGGUUCUGAGAGGAAGGUCCCCCACACUGGAACUGAGACACGGUCCAGACUCCUACGGGAGGCAGCAGUGAGGAAUAUUGGUCAAUGGUCGGAAGACUGAACCAGCCAAGUAGCGUGAAGGGUGAAGGUUCUAUGGAUUGUAAACUUCUUUUAUACGGGAAUAAAACCUCCCACGUGUGGGAGUUUGUAUGUACCGUAUGAAUAAGCAUCGGCUAACUCCGUG
rnacentral:rRNA from 1 species